rnacentral:misc_RNA from 1 species
GAUGAAGAACGCAGCGAAAUGCGAUAAGUAAUGUGAAUUGCAGAAUUCAGUGAAUCAUCGAAUCUUUGAACGCACAUUGCGCCCGCCAGUAUUCUGGCGGGCAUGCCUGUUCGAGCGUCAUUUCGACCAUCAAGCCCCCGGGCUUGUGUUGGGGACCUGCGGCUGCCGCAGGCCCUGAAAACCAGUGGCGGGCUCGCUGUCACACCGGGCGUAGUAGAUUUUAUCUCGCUCAGGGCGUGCUGCGGGUUCCGGCCGUUAAAAAGCCUUUUUUACCCAAGGUUGACCUCGGAUCAGGUAGGAAGACCCGCUGAACUUAAGCAUAUCAAUAAGCGGAGGA